rnacentral:rRNA from 1 species
AUUGAACGCUGGCGGCAGGCCUAACACAUGCAAGUCGGGCGGAGUGGCGGACGGGUGAGUAAUGCCUAGGAAUCUGCCUGGUAGAGGGGGAUAACGUCCGGAAACGGGCGCUAAUACCGCAUACUAUCAGAUGAGCCUAGGUCGGAUUAGCUAGUUGGUGGGGUAAAGGCCCACCAAGGCGACGAUCCGUAACUGGUCUGAGAGGAUGACCAGCCACACUGGAACUGAGACACGGGCCAGACUCCUACGGGAGGCAGCAGUGGGGAAUAUUGGACAAUGGGCGAAAGCCUGAUGCAGCCAUGCCGCGUGUGUGAAGAAGGUCUUCGGGUUGUAAAGCACUUUAAGUUGGGAGGCGUUACCAGCAGAAGAAGCACCGGCUAACUUCGUGCCAGCAGCCGCGGUAAUAC